UAUCAUGCUCCUCGUGAUUUUAGUUGGC
rnacentral:ncRNA from 2 species